rnacentral:rRNA from 1 species
AUUGAACGCUGGCGGCAUGCUUUACACAUGCAAGUCGGACGAGUGGCGAACGGGUGAGUAACGCAUCGGAACGUACCGAGUAAUGGGGGAUAACUGGCCGAAAGGACAGCUAAUACCGCAUAUUAUCCGACCGGCCGUUGCCUGUUUAGCUGGUUGGGGGGGUAAAGGCCCACCAAGGCGACGAUCAGUAGCGGGUCUGAGAGGAUGAGCCGCCACACUGGGACUGAGACACGGCCCAGACUCCUACGGGAGGCAGCAGUGGGGAAUUUUGGACAAUGGGCGCAAGCCUGAUCCAGCCAUGCCGCGUGUAUGAAGAAGGCCUUCGGGUUGUAAAGUACUUUCAGCGGGGAGGCGUUACCCGCAGAAGAAGCACCGGCUAACUCCGUGCCAGCAGCCGCGGUAAUAC